rnacentral:lncRNA from 1 species
GAGAGAGAGAAGAAAGGGAGAGAGGGAGAGGGAAGAGAGGGAGGAAAGGAAACAGGAGGGAGGGGAAGGAGGAGGGACAGCAGACAGGAGGUGGAAGGGCAGGGGAAGGGGCAAAAUUGGGGUGGCAAGCAGUAUUAUAUGCUACCCUAUACCACACCUACAUGUGGCAACAAGUGACAAGUGAUGACAUAUGCUGUUGCUAGGUCCCUGGGAGGAAUCUGGCUGAAUCACUGUAAGUCAACAGUUACAAACGCAGGUUUUUUUUUUUUUUUUCUUUUGUUCUUUCUUUUUUUUUUUUUUUAAUUGAACUUUCUUUCUUUUUUUAAUUUAUUGCUUUGUUAUUGGGUAUUUAUUUCAUUUGCAUUUCCAAUGCUAUCCCAAAAGUCCCCCACACUCUCCCACACCCACUCCCCCACCCACCCACUCCCACUUCUUGGCCCUGGCAUUCAGAGGCAUACAAAGUCUGCAUGACCAAUGGGCCUCUCUUUCCACUGAUGGCCGACCAGUCCAACUUCUGAUACAUAUGCAGCUAGAGACACAAGCUCAGGGGGGGGGGGCUGAGGGAGGGGGGUGUACUAGUUAGUUCAUAUUGUUGUUCCACCUAUAAGGUUGCAGAUCCCCCCAGCUCCCUAGGUACUUCCUCCAGCUCCUCCAUUGGGGGCCCUGUGAUCCAUCCAACAGCUGACUGUGAGCAUCCACUUCUGUGUUUGCUAGGCCCCUGCAUAGUCUCACAAGAGACAGCUAUAUCAAGGUCCUUUCAGCAAAAUCUUGCUAGUGUAUGCAAUGGUGUCAGCGUUUUGAGGCUGACUAUGGGAUGGAUCCCGGAUAUGGCGGCCUCUAGAUGGUCCAUCCUUUCGUCACAACUCCACAAUUUGUCUCUGUAACUCCUUCCAUGGGUGUUUUGUUCCCAAAUCUAAGAAGGGGCAAACUGUCCACACCUUGGUCUUUGUUCUUCCCGAGCUUCAUGUGUUUAGCAAAUUGUAUCUUAUAUCUUGGGUAUUCUAAGUUUCUGGGCUAAUAUCCACUUAUCGAUGAGUACAUAUCAUGUGAGUUCUUUUGUGAUUGAGUUACCUCACUCAGGAUGGACUCCAGGUCCAUCCAUUUGCCUAGGAAUUUCAUAAAUUCAUUCUUUUUAAUAGCUGAGUAGUACUCCAUUGUGUAAUGUACCACAUUUUCUGUAUCCAUUACUCUGUUGAGGGGCAUCUGGGUUCUUUCCAGCUUCUGGCUAUUAUAAAUAAGGCUGCUAUGAACAUAGUGGAGCAUGUGUCCUUCUUACUGGUUGGGACAUCUUCUGAAUAUAUGCCCAGGAGAGGUAUUGCGGGAUCCUCCUGUAGUAUUAUGUCCAAUUAUUUGAGAAACCUCCAGACUGAUUUCCAGAGUGGUUGUACAAGCUUGCAAUACCAGCAACAAUGGAGGAGUGUUCCUCUUUCUCCACAUCCUCACCAGCAUCUGCUGUCACCUGAAUUUUUGAUCUUAGCCAUUCUGACUGGUGUGAGGUGGAAUUUCAGUGUUGUUUUAAUUUGCAUUUCCCUGAUGAUUAAGGAUGUUGAACAUUUUUGUCAGGUGCUUCUCAGCCAUUCGGUAUUCCUCAGGUGAGAAUUCUUUGUUUAGCUCUGAGCCCCAUUUUUUAAUGGGAUUAUUUGAUUUUCUGGAGUCCACCUUCUUGAGUUCUUUAUAUAUAUUGGAUAUUAGUCCCCUACCUGAUUUAGGAUAGGUAAAGAUCCUUUCCCAAUCUGUUGGUGGCCUUUUUGUCUUAUUGAUGGUGUCUUUUGCCUUACAGAAGCUUUGCAAUUUUAUGAGGUCCCAUUUGUUGACUCUUGAUCUUACAGCACAAGCCAUUGCUAUUCUAUUCAGGAAUUUUUCCACUGUGCCCAUAUCUUUGAGUCUUUUCCCCACUUUCUCCUCUAUAAGUUUCACUGUCUAUGGUUUUAUGUGGAGUUUUUUUUAAAUUUAUAUUUAGUGUUUUUCAAAUGAAUUAGAAAACCUCAGCUCCACUUUAUUAUUAACUAUGACAUACAGUAUGUGAAAUAGUCAAGACUGUAAAAAACAAUCACAACAAUAAAAACUAUCACCUUCUAAUCCAAACAGCACAACUGCUGCCUUGAUCUAAUUUUUUAAAGUUUCUGUUCUUAUAAUAUAUUUUUAUCACAUUGCUCUCUCUUAAUUCCUUCCAGAACUUUUCCAGCUCCUUCUCCACCCACAUUCAUGUUCUCCCUCUCUCUUUAAAAAAAUAGUAAGACAAAAAAAUUACCAAAGUCAAAACCAAAUGCUAAUAAACAACAAC